CAGUCGGGAGGGCUGCAUAUCUGCGGUCCGUCGGGCAAGAUAGCCCGCUCGGCUG
rnacentral:ncRNA from 1 species